UACGGAGGGUGCAAGCGUUAUCCGGAUUCACUGGGUUUAAAGGGUGCGUAGGCGGGCAGGUAAGUCAGUGGUGAAAUCCUUGAGCUUAACUCGAGAACUGCCAUUGAUACUAUCUGUCUUGAAUAUUGUGGAGGUAAGCGGAAUAUGUCAUGUAGCGGUGAAAUGCUUAGAUAUGACAUAGAACACCAAUUGCGAAGGCAGCUUACUACACAGUAAUUGACACUGAGGCACGAAAGCGUGGGGAUCAAACAGG
rnacentral:rRNA from 1 species